UGAUACGUAUGCUGGCAACAGCAACUAAUCGGUUAUAAAUCAUUAUACCCUGAUAUACUUCUUGAUAUACUUCUUGUAUAUACUUCUUGUAUAUUUCUGUAUAAGGGCUCAAGAAUUGAGGUCAAUAGUGUGCAAGUUGGUCAUCAGUGCCUUUUUGUUACCAUUCCUUCUAUUAGGUUGUGAAAUAGCGCUAAAUAAAAGCAAUAGACAUGGCCAACAUUCACACUGCUAUCCUUCUGCUACUUCUAUGUAGUCAGCUCUCAGAUGCGAAAUUUUGUUGGAAAAAAAUCGGUGGUUUUGUUGCUGGAACUGCCGCUACGGCUGUUAUGGGACCAAUCGCCCUGGCUGGAAUGGGAUUCACAGCAGCCGGCAUUGCAGGCGGAUCCCUCGGUGCAGCUAUGAUGUCUUCUGGGUUGCCAGUGGCAGGCUUGCAGUCAGCCGGUGCAGCCGGAUUAUCACAUUCUACGAUGGCUGCCGGAGGAGCCUUGACAGCUUGGUUUUUUGACUGCGAUUAACCAAACAUCUCCACCCGGAAACAUAUUGCCAAGAUAGUCUAGAUACAUUAUAUUUUUUUAUUAAGAAAUUAUGUUAUUUCCUUUUUUACUUUUAUCAUUGUUUUAAAUGAGCGGGUUUUUAUUUGCAUUCCAAAAUAAUUGUUAGUAUAGGCCUAUAUUAGGUCUAUAUUAUGGGGGCGCGGUUUGCUUAGUAAUUAAGCGCUUGGCUUCCGAACCUGGGGUCCUUUGAUCGAAUCUCAGUGAAAACGGGGAUUUUGAAGUUUGGGAUCUUUAGUGCGCCACAGAGUCUACCCAACUGUAAUGUGGGUACCCGACUUUACUUGGGGAAAGUAAAGGUGGUUGGUCGUUGUGCUGGCCACAUGACGCCCUUCUCGUUAACCGUUUGCCAAAGAAACAGAUGAAACAUCAUCUGCCCAUAGAUCGCAAGGUCUGAAAGGGAAACUUUACUUACGAGAUUUAUUAUAGGCCUAUAUUAGUAGAUUAUUUUGUGUACUAUUAAGGUUCAUUUACGUUUCAGUGUAAAAUGUCCAAGGCUCAAACUAGCUGGCAUAUUCUUAUUUCACAUAUAUAUGAAUAAAUAUAUACAUGGAUGGGGCCACACUCAGAGUGUGUGGUAUAACAACUGGGUGGGAAAAAGUAGGGGGUGAGCUUUUAGCUUAAAUAAAUGUGCUAUUUAAACCUAGCUCUUGAUUCACCGAGUCUCAAAGAAAUGUUUAUAUAAUUCAUUGUAUAGCUUAUUAUGUAAGAAGCCACGCACACCUAAUGACAAACAUAAACACCAACAUGUACAAUCUACUUUGUAAACACUUUUGUCAAUAAUUCUUUAGUCAAUAAUAAAAAAUAAUGUAUCUUU